ensembl:snoRNA SNORD15 Small nucleolar RNA SNORD15
CUUCAGUGAUGAUACGAUGACGAGUCUGAACAGGACACAGCCUGUCUCUGGUGUUCUGACUCCUGGCCACGUUCUGUGUCCUUGAGUUCAGGCGCCUAGGCAGAGUGUCCUUACUGUUUGAUGACAUAGAGGCAUUUGUCUGAGAAGG